rnacentral:ribozyme from 15 species
CUUUUUGUUUAUCCGUUAUUCUUUUUGUUUAUCCGUUAUUCUUUUUGUUUAUCCGUUAUUGGUGCAAAGUUGAUAAAAGGGUACCGUUCACUAUGGCGAUGAUAGCAGGAAAUAAUAGUAAACUAUU